rnacentral:lncRNA from 1 species
UGCGUUUCACUUGGCCCAACCCAGAUCAAGAGAAAUAUGGCAGUCUUCAAGGAUUCAUGGCCACGAUUGGAUCAGUGUAGGACGCCGGCAGGGUUCUUUUUGAAUAACUUUUUUUAUGAUGUCUAUCGCAAAACUCCCAUUUCCAUACUGUAUUUAUAGUUCUGCUUAAAUACAGACUGAAAAGAUGCAUGACAUGCUUUAAAGCACUUUGAGAUUAAAGUCGGUAGAAGCUAGCAAUGGCAUCGGUUCCCAUCUUAGAACAAGUAGUCAGUGGGUCAUCAUUGCAUUUCCACAAUCAGAAGACAAGAUUUAGACUCAAAAGCUAAGUUUAUUUUUCUCUCCUGUGUGACCCCUUUGCUGGCCUUUUUUUCUUUUUUCUUUUUUAUCUUUUCUCUUUCUUUAGGUAAAAGUUAUAAUUUGCCAAGAUUCUAAUUUGUGCUUUAGUUUUUCGUCAUGUCUCCUCAGCCCCUGACCAGUGCCAGGCUGCUUUAAGAGCUAAGGGGUUGAAGGUUGAACGCAUGCCAUCCACACUUUUUAACUUUGAGCCAGCUUGUAGAUGUGCUGGUUUCCCAAGUUUUGCCGUAACUAUCGCAAUCACUUGCUCUCAUUGUUUAUUUUGAUAAUUUUAUGAUGAUUUUCAAGAAAGACAAGCCCAAAAAAUAUUUUUCAGACAAGUCCUUCAUUCACAUUGAAAUCUUAGAAUAAUUUAAGUUUUUUUUUAUGAAAAUUAUGUGUGAAUUAAUUAGUUAAUUGAGUUGAAUUUAUUAGUUAAUAAGUUUU